rnacentral:rRNA from 1 species
GACGAACGCUGGCGGCGUGCUUAACACAUGCAAGUCGAACGGAAGGGCCCUGCUUUUGUGGGGUGCUCGAGUGGCGAACGGGUGAGUAACACGUGAGUAACCUGCCCUUGUCUUUGGGAUAACUUCAGGAAACUGGGGCUAAUACCGGAUAGGAGCUCCUGCUGCAUGGUGGGGGAUGGAAAGUUUCGGCGGUUGGGGAUGGACUCGCGGCUUCUGAGCUGGUUGGUGGGGUUGUUACUUACACAGGUUUGGACGGGUAGCCGGCCUGGGAGGGUGACCGGCCCCAUGCGCCCACGGAAGCGCCCAGACGCCUACGGGAGGCAGUGGUGGGGAAUAUUGCACAAUGGGCGGACGCCUGAUGCAGCAACGCCGCGUGCGGGAUGACGGCCUACGGGUUGUAAACCGCUUUCGCCUGUGACGAAGCGUGAGUGACGGUAAUGGGUAAAGAAGCACCGGCUAACUACGUG